ACAGUGUCCUAUAAUUUAUAAACCAGAUGCUUCGGCUUAUUAAAAUGCGCAAAUUGUUUAUCCUUUUCCAAGGUAGAAUAAUGCUUAAUUUAAUUAAAGUCUUCUCCUCUGAAUGAAGAUCAGCGGGACUCCCCUGAGAUCUCCUCGUGCUAUAGGCUCUUUCAAAGAGAGCACCUGUAAUUUGUCUUCAUCAACUUGUAUGGACAUCCUGAGGAACAAAAGCCGGACCUGUAAACUCCGCUUGCCUGCUGCCGAAGAAGAGCCCUCCAAGAUUGUUUCUGUCUCCGCCAACCCCUAGGCGAGAUGGGCUUCAGCCAGGAGGAAUGCUAACAAGACGGGCCCCAGACAUGUUCAACAGAAGAACCACGCAGACAUGCAAAGAACGAAAUAACCAUGCCAUGCCUCAUUGACGAUAAUCUACGGCAGAAAGGGGGAAGCGAGGAUGCUGUGAUUUUGACGUCUGCGCCUGAAGUUUAUUCCAAAGUGGGAUGUAGUGGAGCCCAGAGCCCAGGAGGGAUGCAGAGGGACACCAGUCCAAAGGUGUGCAGCACACAGCCCAUCUAUCAUGGGACUCUCAGUAGCACCUGCUGGGACCCAGAUGUGCUCUGGCACUUUUUCUGUUCCCUUUUUGUUUUUUCGUUGCAGGGUGGCUGGCAAAGAGCUUCCCCUGGGACACAGCC
ensembl:lncRNA